UACGUAGGGCGCAAGCGUUAUCCGGAAUUAUUGGGCGUAAAGAGCUCGUAGGCGGUUUGUCGCGUCUGCCGUGAAAGUCCGGGCUCAACUCCGGAUCUGCGGUGGGUACGGGCAGACUAGAGUGCAGUAGGGGAGACUGGAAUUCCUGGUGUAGCGGUGGAAUGCGCAGAUAUCAGGAGGAACACCGGUGGCGAAGGCGGGUCUCUGGGCUGUAACUGACGCUGAGGAGCGAAAGCGUGGGUAGCGAACAGG
rnacentral:rRNA from 1 species